rfam:Nicotiana sylvestris Nsyl_contig66704, whole genome shotgun sequence.
CACCGCCCGUCGCUCCGACCGAUUGAAUGAUCCGGUGAAAUGUCGGAUCGCGGCGACGCGGGCGGUUCGCUGCCCGCGACGUCGCGAGAAGUCCAUUGAACCUUAUCAUUUAGAGGAAGGAAAAGUCGUAACAAGGUUUCCGUAGGUGAAUCUGCGGAAG